rnacentral:rRNA from 1 species
UACGUAGGGUGCGAGCGUUGUCCGGAAUUAUUGGGCGUAAAGAGCUCGUAGGCGGUUUGUUGCGUCGGCUGUGAAAACCUGCGGCUUAACUGUGGGCUUGCAGUCGAUACGGGCAGACUUGAGUUCGGCAGGGGAGACUGGAAUUCCUGGUGUAGCGGUGAAAUGCGCAGAUAUCAGGAGGAACACCGGUGGCGAAGGCGGGUCUCUGGGCCGAUACUGACGCUGAGGAGCGAAAGCGUGGGGAGCAAACAGG